CCUACGGGAGGCAGCAGUGGGGAAUAUUGCACAAUGGGGGGAACCCUGAUGCAGCGACGCCGCGUGGGUGAAGGAGUACUUCGUUACGUAAAGCCCUAUCAGCAGGAAAGAAAAUGACGGUACCUGACUAAGAAGCCCCGGCUAACUACGUGCCAGCAGCCGCGGUAAUACGUAGGGGGCAAGCGUUAUCCGGAUUUACUGGGUGUAAAGGGAGCGUAGACGGUUAUGUAAGUCUGGAGUGAAAGCCCGGGGCCCAACCCCGGGACUGCUUUGGAAACUGUGUAACUGGAGUACAGGAGGGGCAG
rnacentral:rRNA from 1 species